UACGUAGGGGGCUAGCGUUGUCCGGAUUUAUUGGGCGUAAAGAGCGUGUAGGCGGCCAGGUAGGUCUGGUGUGAAAACUCGAGGCUUAACCUCGAGAUGUCAUCGGAAACCAUCUGGCUAGAGUCCGGAAGAGGAGAGUGGAAUUCCUGGUGUAGCGGUGAAAUGCGCAGAUAUCAGGAGGAACACCGGUGGCGAAGGCGGGUCUCUGGGCCGAUACUGACGCUGAGGAGCGAAAAGCGUGGGGGAGCGAACAGG
rnacentral:rRNA from 1 species